AUUGAACGCUGGCGGCAGGCCUAACACAUGCAAGUCGAACGGUAACAGGAAACAGCUUGCUGUUUCGCUGACGAGUGGCGGACGGGUGAGUAAUGUCUGGGAAACUGCCUGAUGGAGGGGGAUAACUACUGGAAACGGUAGCUAAUACCGCAUAACGUCGCAAGACCAAAGAGGGGGACCCUCAGGCCGCUUGCCAUCGGAUGUGACCUGAUGGGAUUAGCUAGUUGGUGGGGUAACGGCUCACCAAGGCGACGAUCCCUAGCUGGUCUGAGAGGAUGACCAGCCACACUGGAACUGAGACACGGUCCAGACUCCUACGGGAGGCAGCAGUGGGGAAUAUUGCACAAUGGGCGCAAGCCUGAUGCAGCCAUGCCGCGUGUAUGAAGAAGGCCUUCGGGUUGUAAAGUACUUUCAGCGGGGAGGAAGGGAGUAAAGUUAAUACCUUCGCUCAUUGACGUUACCCGCAGAAGAAGCACCGGCUAACUCCGUG
rnacentral:rRNA from 1 species